ensembl:lncRNA
GCACGAGGCUACGCAACUAAAUGUAGGAUCAAAAUAUCGCCUCUUAAGUGAACUUUUACAUAUAAAAAAGGGAAGGGGUGCGCUUCACUGCAGGUAGGUCUCUAAAUACCUUCUGUGCGCGAGUCUGUCCACAGGUGUGUGCGUCGUGUGUGUCUGUAAGCAGGUGCUUAAACUGAAAAGUGGUUACAUGAUGGACGUUGUCCCUGCUGCCAAAGCCCUGGGAGAACAGCAGAGGUCUACAGAAUGAAAAACUUAAAGAUGUACAGUACAUUCAACAUAAAUUAUUCAAAUAUUGAGAUUCGUAAGCCAGGUGUAAGACGGGACCACUGCAGGAACAACCUCCAUCAUAGGCUGGCAAGGGAACAUCUGUAGCCUCUUCAGGGGACAGCAACCGAACAACCGGUAUGGAAAUACAGCGUCACAACAACACAGCUGUGUGCUGUGAGAAUCAACUCUAUCCAGUGGCAGAGCUCUCAUAUUGUGGAGAGAAGGCUUUCAACCCAGAAGAAGCCACUUGUUGCCCAUAUGAAAAUGGAAGCACCAUAACAGAGGGCCUUAGUGAAAAGGUGUCAGCUUGCUGUGGACUGAAGGCAUACGACCAGCUCAAUCAAAUAUGCUGUCACGGAACCAUCCUAGUCAAACCUGGGCCAAACGCCCAAUGUUGUGAUAAAAAGGCUUUUGAUGUCGACGAGCAGAUGUGUUGUGGACCGCUGACCAAUAAGACAAUCCUAACAAAAGAAUCCUCAGACCACCGAUGCUGUGGACAAAACAGUUUUAACCCAACGACUCAAUGCUGCUGUUCGAUAAAUGAAAGUCUAAGCAUAUGGUCCAAGGAUUCCAGCUGCUGCGAGAAGGCUGACUGUGGACAGAACACCUACAACACAAGCGACAAACUAUGCUGUCAAUCAACGGUUGUUAGCAAAAAUGUAUCAAAUGCCCAAUGCUGUGGUAAACAGGCGUUUAAUAACGACACACAAUUGUGUUGUGGUCCUUCUGAUGACAAGAUAAUCCUGGAGAGAAUCUCUAUUGACCACCUCUGUUGUGGACGUAACCGGUUCGACACCAACAAGGAGUGCUGCUGUUUGACAAAGGAAGGUCUUCAGAUACAACAGAUCAAUUCCAGCUGCCGUCGGGAUCAGGGUCAAUCUUCUGAUGCCACUGCUGUGUUUAACCCACACAUAGGUGUCUGCUGUGGACGCUGUGUGUCUGAUUGGAACCCUUCGACAGAUCAACUUCAUGGCCCGCCUGGACAACAUAGCUGCAGGACGAAAGUUUAUCGGCCUCACGCGGGGAUCAUUUGCGAUGGACCAAGGACUCCUCACUUCUGUGGGUCAAAAGCCUACGACAUUAAAGACCCAGGAAUGAAGUGCUGCGCAGGAACAUUGCACAACCUCACUCAAGUACCAGAGGCGCAGUGCUGUGGCUCCAUCCUGCAAAACAAACCGAACGUAUGCUGUUUGAGUGAGCACAUGGAGGUGCUCUACUCCAACAAGACGAAAUUUGAAUGCUGUGGUCACCUCUACUACAACACCUCCCUAUGGUCAUGCUGUGCAGGGACGCUGAGCGCUGUGCCUCCACGAGGACAGCAUCCGAAAUCCAUACUUCGAUCUUUGGGCAAUUUGAAUGAGACGGAUCUUUGUGGCAAACUGCAAGUCGGGAUUGUGGAAAGGGACGGCCUGAAUGGGAUCGUAUUCAACAGUGUGUUGAUAAUCCAUGGAAGGAAUGGCAGUGUGAUACCCAGGAGCGGGCUUCACACCCUGAGUACAGGAACCGAUGGCUGCAGCAACGCAAAACUGGUCCCUGGGAAGAGCUACUUCUUUGAUGACGUUAAAGUAAAUGUCUUCACAGAUCUCAACCACGACUCUAUUCUCCAGUCCAUCUAUUUCAUUAUUUCUAAGUGUCAUACGAAUAUAUAAGAUUAUAGACUUUAUGUUCAGGGUCGGACGAUUUACUAACUAAUCUAACAUGCAGCUAAUUUAUAGAUGUUGAGUUUUGGAUUAACACCAUUUGUUAAAAAACAACUGUGGAGUUAUCAAAAGCAAUAUUCCUUGUCUCUUAGCAGAGGACAGCCAUUAUCAAUUAUCAGGCUGGAGCUUGUUCACUAAGUCCACAUAUUAGUCUGUUAACUUAUGCACAUCAAUAAAACUACUCUCAAAUUGUGAAGUAGCAG